UCCGUGCGUCCGGUUCUCGCUGAUUGGUCUGAUGAUGUCCCAGCAGCUGAUCAUCCAUGGGCGUCGUGAAAAAGCCAAAACAAAAAUGUCGAUCCACGGAGAGACAGAUACACUGACACACUUUAUGUAAAGUAAAGGUUAAAGUGCUUCAGUCCCUAAUGUAAAUCUACUUCCUAUGAUACAACAUGGGGGCGUGCUGUGCCGUAAAAUGCAAGAAUAGGUGUAGUAGGGGCUUCAAAAUGCAUCCUUUUCCCAAAGAUCCUACGAGGAGGAAGAUUUGGUCUCAAAGGCUCAAAAGAGCCAAUUGGACACCUUCUUCAAGCUCGGUUCUUUGUCAAGCACAUUUUACCACGGACCAGUAUAAUUCUAAUGGAAAAAGGUUGAAGAAAGAAGCAUUGCCAACCAUCUUUGCUCACACCCCACAUCGCAAAACAAGCCAAAGAAAGCCACCCAAAUUUCGGGAAUCUCGUGUAGAAUGUGAGGCCAGAUUGCGAAAAGUUAUCUUCCUGGACCAUAUCUAUUCUAGAAAGGUGAAACAACUACCUCAAAUGAGAGAAGACCUUGAAAAUACGACUAAUUGGCCGGCUUUCAAUCAUCCUGAUCAAAGUUGCUCGGACGUUCUACCCGCUCCCUCACUUCUGUGCCUAGAUAGCAUUUCCGAACAGAUUGAGGUGCACGAUAUCGGCUGGGUUGAACCCAUUCCGCACGAUAUUCAUCUUAAGCUCCUAAAAAUUCGAAAACUUGAGGUUGAAAUCAAAGAAAAACAACUCGAGACGGAUGCAUUACAUCGCAAGCUGGAACUGGCGUCUUUAGAGAUUUUAAAUUUGCAAAAGAAGUCUCAUGAACCGCCCCCACCUACUACAACUGUUGAUUUUUUGACUGCGGAUCAAAUUGCUUUUGGGGAACGAAAAUCGAUGAGAGGCUACAACUGGAGCAGUGAGACAAUCAAGAGAGCUCUCCAACUUCGUUUGUCAUGUGGCAUCUCAGGUUAUGAAACCCUUCUUCAACAAGGUUAUCCCCUUCCAUCCAUCCGAACGCUCCAAAGGCGUACUGAACACAUCCAGUCUGAUUCAGGAGGUCCGUCGGAAGGAUUGGAAGUGAUGAAGCUCAAAGAGAACACAUCCCCACAAAAGAAAGAUUGUGUUGCCUCACAACGGACAAGUUUAGCAUCAAGCCAAGGUGACAGCAAAUCCGACUCCUUCUUGGCGGACGUUAAUCUCCCCGAACAUAAAGGCCAAGGAGAGGCAACUAAGUCCCCUGCUUUUCAACUAGAUGGUCUAACAUAUUUCACCGGAAAGUGACUUUAGAUAAGUCAUUUUGAAGUUGAUAAACAGCCAGCGCAGUACUAUCUCUUCGGAAAUUCAGUCUCCGGAGAGAGCUUUGGUCCAAUCGCGAAUGAGAAUGUCAUGGAGACUGAAGAAGCUGUCUUUUUGACCUUGGUACAACCGGUGACAUCAUGAGCGGACCCAAUCAAGAGUCAUCGAAGUGAUUGAAUAUCGAUGUGAGGAAAACCCUAACUGGAACAUCGCCUUUCCUCAAAAGACACAAUUUAUAUUUAAUGUCAGAUGUAGGCCAUGUAAUAAAGAAUAUUGAGGGGGCCAUUUGCAAUGAAACGAUGAUCAUUUUACUUUC